UUUUGAUGUAAAUUGAUUGACCUUAGUAGUAUUAGUUAUUUUCUUGAAAUUUAAAGUAUUUGGCGGUAUUUUAGUCUAUUUAGAGGAAUCUGUCUCGUUAUUGAUAAUCCACAUUGAACCUUACUUAUUUAAUUAGUAUGUAUAUCGCCGUUGUUAAUUACCUUUUUAGGGUUGAUUUUUUUUUAUUAAUAAUUAUUUCAGGUCAAGGUGCAGCUGUAAAUAAUAAAUAAGUGAAGAUGGAUUACAAUAUUUUAAUUGAAUAAAAUGGAUUAAUUAAUUUAAAUAUUUAAUAUGAAGGUGGAUUUAAUAGUAAUUUUAUGUAGAAUGUUAAUUUGAAUAAAGCUCUAUAAUAUGU
rnacentral:rRNA from 1 species